rnacentral:rRNA from 1 species
GAUGAACGCUGGCGGCGUGCCUAAUACAUGCAAGUCGAGCGAACAGACGAGGAGCUUGCUCCUCUGAUGUUAGCGGCGGACGGGUGAGUAACACGUGGAUAACCUACCUAUAAGACUGGGAUAACUUCGGGAAACCGGAGCUAAUACCGGAUAACAUGUUGAACCGCAUGGUUCAACAGUGAAAGACGGUCUUGCUGUCACUUAUAGAUGGAUCCGCGCCGCAUUAGCUAGUUGGUAAGGUAACGGCUUACCAAGGCAACGAUGCGUAGCCGACCUGAGAGGGUGAUCGGCCACACUGGAACUGAGACACGGUCCAGACUCCUACGGGAGGCAGCAGUAGGGAAUCUUCCGCAAUGGGCGAAAGCCUGACGGAGCAACGCCGCGUGAGUGAAGAAGGUCUUCGGAUCGUAAAACUCUGUUAUUAGGGAAGAACAGAUGUGUAAGUAACUAUGCACGUCUUGACGGUACCUAAUCAGAAAGCCACGGCUAACUACGUG